CAGCCGCCGCGGUAAUUCCGGCGGCCCGAGUGGCGGCCACUAUUAUUGGGCUUAAAGCGUCCGUAGCCGGGUUGGUUAGUCUCCCGGGAAAUCUGGCCGCUUAACGGUCAGAAUUCCGGGAGAUACUGCCAGCCUAGGGACCGGGAGAGGCCGAGGGUAUUCCCGGAGUAGGGGUGAAAUCCUAUAAUCCCGGGAGGACCACCUGUGGCGAAGGCGCUCGGCUGGAACGCGUCCGACGGUGAGGGACGAAGGCCAGGGGAGCAAACCGGAUUAGAUACCCGGGUAGUCCUGGCUGUAAACGAUGCGGACUUUGUGUCGGACAAGCUAUGAGCUUGUCCGGUGCCGGAGGGAAACCGUUAAGUCCGCCGCCUGGGGAGUACGGCCGCAAGGCUGAAACUUAAAGGAAUUGGCGGG
rnacentral:rRNA from 1 species